rnacentral:rRNA from 1 species
CACUGUGUGUUGUUGGGUAGGGGAGCGUUCUGUAAGCCUGUGAAGGUGUGUCGUGAGGCAUGCUGGAGGUAUCAGAAGUGCGAAUGCUGACAUAAGUAACGAUAAAGCGGGUGAAAAGCCCGCUCGCCGGAAGACCAAGGGUUCCUGUCCAACGUUAAUCGGGGCAGGGUGAGUCGACCCCUAAGGCGAGGCCGAAAGGCGUAGUCGAUGGGAAACGGGUUAAUAUUCCCGUACUUGGUGUUACUGCGAAGGGGGGACGGAGAAGGCUAUGUUGGCCGGGCGACGGUUGUCCCGGUUUAAGCGUGUAGGUGUGUGUUCCAGGUAAAUCCGGUUCACUUUAACACUGAGGCGUGAC